AGUGAACGCUGGCGGUAGGCCUAACACAUGCAAGUCGAACGGCAGCACAGUAAGAGCUUGCUCUUACGGGUGGCGAGUGGCGGACGGGUGAGGAAUACAUCGGAAUCUACUUUUUCGUGGGGGAUAACGUAGGGAAACUUACGCUAAUACCGCAUACGACCUACGGGUGAAAGCAGGGGAUCUUCGGACCUUGCGCGAUUGAAUGAGCCGAUGUCGGAUUAGCUAGUUGGCGGGGUAAAGGCCCACCAAGGCGACGAUCCGUAGCUGGUCUGAGAGGAUGAUCAGCCACACUGGAACUGAGACACGGUCCAGACUCCUACGGGAGGCAGCAGUGGGGAAUAUUGGACAAUGGGCGCAAGCCUGAUCCACCCAUACUGCGUGGGUGAAGAAGGCCUUCGGGUUGUAAAGCCCUUUUGUUGGGAAAGAAAAGCAGCAGGUUAAUACCCCGCUGUUCUGACGGUACCCAAAGAAUAAGCACCGGCUAACUUCGUG
rnacentral:rRNA from 1 species